ACGGAAGGCCGGAUGGCCGCGGGCCUCGGCCCGAGGAAAGUCCGGACUCCACAAGGUAACGGUGCCGGGUAACGCCCGGCGGGGGCAACCCCAGGGAAAGCGCCACAGAGAACAGACCGCCACGCUUGCGUGGUCAGGGUGAAACGGUGCGGUAAGAGCGCACCGCGGGACGGGCAACCGGACCGGCAAGGCAAGCCCCACCGGGAGCAAUGCCGAAUAGGAACCUCGCGCGGGUCCGGUCCCCUUCGGGGCGAUACCGCCGCAGGGCCACCUUGGCCCGGAGGUUCGGGUUGGCAGCUAGAGGCGCCGGGGUAAUCCGGCGUUUAGAGGAAUGGUCAUCGAACCGGCGCAAGUCGGGGAACAGAAUCCGGCUUACAGGCCUUCCGUGCGU
rnacentral:RNase_P_RNA from 1 species